AGUUCUCAGAGGCUCCCUUCUCUGUCUGGAGUGGGAAGUGAUGCAUAUAGCCCUGUGYGUACUGAUCAGAGGGGAAUUCAUUGCUCGUCUGUUUUCUGUUCUCCCUUGUUAGUCUGCUUCCACAUCCCUGUAGCAAAUACUGAAUAUCAGCACUGUGCUGGAACUGCAGCUUCACUCAUGUGUGACUCACAAGAUAUUGCAAUGCACCUGUGUAACAGUUGGCCGAACGUCACUGCUUCUCUGCAAAGAGCUACAAAGCACAUGAAGACAAAACACAAAAACACAGGAUUACUCUGCCAGCCUUCCUGGUGCUGUAUUUCCCUGCAUGGAUCGCUAAGACAACAAAAAGAUUGAAACUCUAGUGAGUCCACAACAUUCGCAGCAGGCUGUCAGGAAUCGUGGGGAACACAGAGAAAGUGCUGAUUACUCAGGAUGUGGAGAUUUCAGUGAGAUUACGCAAGCACAAAACACCAUGAGAAGAACAACAGUGCAGACACGUCAAGAUCCUGCUUCCCCAGUCAUCCAGGUCAGGUACGCAAAACAGAGUAUGGUCUGUUUAUCUUCUAGCUUGCAUAUCGCUUUUCUGCCUAUGGAAAUGA
rnacentral:lncRNA from 1 species